rfam:Aedes albopictus isolate Foshan contig156566, whole genome shotgun sequence.
UGCCCAGCAACUCCUAUCCCUACCUCCUCGUGGUACCGGCCGGAAACUAUGAGCAACCUUAGGGAAGAUCGGGUAACCAACCCCGGUGGGAACUUUGGUCGUAGGCUGAUAGGGAAGG